GGAUGUGAGGGUGAUCUAGUUUUGACAUCUGCUACCCUAUUGUUCACCAGGGUUGAUUGGGCUGAUCUUGCUGGGUGUCAGGUGGCCCCUUUCUCCCUCAAUGCUUCAUAUGUGUCCCUCCCAAAGCUGCAUGCUCGGUCAAGAGGACAAUGGACUGGUCUCUGGCAGAGGGUAUACCAGUAGCUGCACUCCUCUGCUAGAACCUCCCAACAAGCUCUCAAGUCAAAAAGAGAAGGAUGAAUCUGAGAUAACAUCGCUCAUAGAAAGACGUU
rnacentral:snRNA from 1 species